rnacentral:lncRNA from 1 species
AAGAAAGUUAUGAAAGCUUAGUUUAGUUAAUUAGCAUCAAGGAGACAGAUCGAAGAGGAAGACAAAAUGAUCGAGAGAAUUAAAUAAUUGCUUUGCUUUGCUUUCACUUUGUAAAUUUUACGUAUAUAUUUGGUUAAUUCUCUCUGUUGGAGUAUUAAUUAUAACGCGAAAGGAUUGACACAUGCAUGAAUGGUACCGUACGUGGAGGUAUAUAUAUUUAAUUAUAUGUUUUUGAUUGAUUGAUUUUUUCUCCCGUUAACUCCUCACUAGAUCUCUCCCUCAAUGUAAUUUCUUUUUAGGAUUUUUGCCACCAAAGAGGCUUUGUUAUGAGUAUUGAUGCCACACUCACUUUGUUAAUUAAUUUAGCGCCAGAUUGAUGAAUUUAAUUUAAUUGAAUGCAGAUUUCUUCUUCUUUUCUCUCUCUUAUACAUGUAUUGAUGCCAAAUAUAUAAUUCUUUCUUUAUUUACAACACUAAUUAUAAAAGGAUGAACAAAAUAUAUUUUUCACAUAUAUUAAGAAUAUAGUAGAGUAGAGAAAGAGUAAAAAAAAUUCAAAUUUAUCUUUAGAAAGCCCACAAAAAUAUAGAUUUUUUUAGGGUCCUUAACACUAAUCUACAACAAUUAGAAAGUAAUUACAAAAAUAAAACACACACAACAUAAUUACAAAAAUAAAACAAACACAAUAUUACGUUGCUAAAAUCACGUGUCAUUAACUCCUAUACGUCAGUUACCAACUUUGCUAUUUGCAACUAACCGCUCCUAAAUUGAAGCAAUUGAAAAAACAUACAAUUUUCAUAUCGGAGAAAUCCAAAUCUUAUGUCGCGACACAACUCUGAGAUCGGAGAAGACGAAACCUUUUGCAGCGGCGCAACUCUGAGAUCGGAGAAUAGCAUACAAAAUCAACAGCAACUUCAAGUUCAGUAACAAAAAACAAUCGUACUGCAGUGAUUGUUGAAUACAAGAUCACAACAACUUCGAUACAAAUCUGAAUACGGAGGAGGUAUGUGAGUUUAAAAUUCGUAUGCAUGUAGUUACCUAUGGUUACUACGAAUUCCUAUAUUGAUUAUCUUUCUUAAGUUUUUCACACUUAAAAUGGUCACAAAUUAAGAAUACUGAAUGUUUUGAAUGGUCAUUAAUAUGUUUUAUAUUAUGGUUACUAAAUAGAUAUAAAUUGGUUGCUGUUUAUUAUGUAUUUAGUUGCUGAAUAAUGUUUAUUUGAUUGCUUUAUAAUUUUUAUAUGAGUUCUACUGAUUUUUUUUAUAUUAAUGGUUACUCAUCAAAUACAUUGGUUACAUUCCUGCAACUGUCGGUUACUGUGUAAUGUUGUCUUGGUUAUUGUGUAACAUUAUAUUGUCUAAUGCUGUAUUGAUUACUGUCUAAUGAUAUCUUGGUUACUUUGUAACAUUAAAUUGGUUACUGACUAAUGCUGACUUAGUUACUAUGUAACAUUAUAAUGGUUACUGACUAUUACUUAGUUAGUUGCUGUGUAAAAUUAUAAUGGUUAGUGCAUAAUAUUACUUACUAAUGCUGACUUGGUUAUUGAAAAAUGAUGACUUGGUUAUUGACUAAUGCUGACUUGGUUACUGUUUAACAUUAUAUUGGUUACUGACUAAUGCUGACAUGGUUACUAUGUAAAAUUAUAAUGGUUACUCAUUAGUGCUGACCUGGUUACUGAUAUUAAUCUAAUUAACUUAUACUUAUGUGUUUUAUAUUAAUGGUUACUUGUUAGCUACAUUGGUUACAUUCUUACAACAUUUAGCCUUUAGUUGGUAACAAUCAAGUUAUACUGGUUGGUUUUUACUAUAAAAAUGCAAUGGAGAAUGUGUUUAUCUUGUGGCUACUAAAUAAAUAUGUGUUGGUUACUGUUUAAAUUGGAUUUGGUUACUGUAUAAUGUUGUUAUGAUUAUUACUAUAUAAUAUUACGGUGUUUUAUAUUGGUUUGUUUUAUUAUGAUGGUUACUUAUUGGCUACAUUUGUUACCUUCAUACAACUGUUAUAGUUUAAUUGGUAAUAAAUAUCAAUAUAAUAUACUGAUUAUUUCCAUUGUAAGAUGAAUGUACAAAUAUAUUUUAUGUACUGGUUACUAAUAUCAUGUAGUUUGGUUACUGGCUAACAUUGAUUUGGUUACUUUACAGUACUUAUUCUGUUGUCAGACAAUGGAAUUGAUUCCUGUUGUACUUUAUUUCAACGGUACAUGGACUGAUAGUAACCAAUACACCAAAUUUGAAGUUACCGGCGUACUAGUUCCAUCAACUUGUUCGUUCAGAGAAAUGCAAAACAUGAUAUGCAUUGUUCUAUCAAGUUCGGAGUGUCGGAUUUUGGCGUUUUUAGAGCCUAAUUCAUUGGAAAUGGGUCA